UCCUUAUCUCAUCUUCAACCUUUGGUCUUGAGUCAAGGGUAGGUGAAGUAAUCAAUUCCCUUAUACUUAUCCAAUCCGUCCCUUUCCUCUCAAUCCAAAAGAAGUUUGACUAAGUCUUUAUCCUCUCUUCAAUCCGUCGGUUUCUUUAAGCCAAGGAAAACUUUCUCACUUCCUCGAACUGAUGCCUACUCUCAUUUCCUCUCCUUCUUCCUUCAUCUUCUAAUUCAAGAGAAAACUAAGGUUCUUUCCAUUAUUCAAAUUGUGUGAUUCCCAAAAGGAAGAAAAAAAAAUUAUUUUUCCCAAACCGUACCAUAUAUCUCUCCUUCAUACCAUUUUGAGUUUUGCUCAUAGUUGGGAUUUCCAAGUUGCUUUCAUCUUCCAAGAAGUGAAGAAGUUGGGGGUAAUGAGGAAAAGGCUGGAGAGCAGGGCAUUACUGCAGAGGGAGAGGCAGACGUUUAGUUUCUUCCUUGUUGGUUUGAAUUUACAUGAAUGAUGUGUUAUGUUUAUGGAUGUUAUGUUUUAUGUUGGGAUGAGUCCCUUGUCGGGACAUUUUGUCGAGUUUGACUUUAAACCAUGUAUAAAUUUGGAAUGGCAUAACUGUUAUGGUGGGGUGAUGGGAACCCUAAUAUAUUGACUUAGUGCCUUCUUGUACGUAUGAUAGAGAUGGAGUCUCUCCCUAACUAGAACAAUUAUGUUUUUUAUGAAAGCAUGUAGACUCUGAGAGUCUGUUUAUGGA